CACUCAUCUUCACAUCCAUCCAUCCAUCCAUCCAUCCACUUAUCCAUCCACCCAUCCAUCCACUUAUCCUUCCAUCCACCCACCCACCCAUCCUUUCAUCUAUCCAUCUGUGCUCACUAUAUCCAUUGAUUUCAUUCAUCCAUCCACCUACGUGCUAACACACCCAUUUCCUCACCAUGAAUCUAUUCAUACUUUCACCUAUCUUUCCAUUCAUUUAUUCACUUAACUUUUCUCCCACCCUCACUCCUGAUCCCCUUUACUUUCUCAGUUCAUCCCAGAAUACUGUACAUCAAUACAGCAAGUCAUUCACCCACACCCAGCACAUCCACCUACCCGUUCGUCUUGCCACCCUCCCACUCGUCUUUUUAUAUAUAUCUCCUUCCUUCUUCCCUUCUCCCCUCUUCUUCCAGUUAUUUCCUCUCCAAUGGUUCAUCCAUCUAACUACCCACCUACUCUGUUCAUCCAUUCUUCUAUCUUCUCUUCUUCCUACCCACCUCUUCCGCCGUCUGUGUAUACCACAUAGCCAUACACCCAGUGUUCAUGGUGGCUCUGGUUUACAGCAUAGGUUUGAGUCCUGGGACCUUAAGUUGGUAUUACAUCUAUCCGUGCCUUAUUUUCCUCUUCGUAAAAAUGGGGUUGUGCCUACCUCAGCGUGUUGUGGAGAGGAUUAACCGAGUUAAUACCGUGUAAUGCUGUUAGCAUAGCACCAUACCCAUAGUCAUUUCUUCUAUUAUUUCUAUUGUUCUUUCCUACAUCCAUCCUCCAUGUCCAUUCUUACCUCCCAUUACUUCUACCCAUUCACCUGCCCUGUGUAUGAUUUUACCCAGUCAUCUGUCCAUCAAUACACAUAUCCACCAACUUUAUUUAAACAUCCAUCCUUUUCCCGUUGUACAUCUCUCUAACCAUCUUCCCACCUUCUAUUUCCUGUUCCCUCCUUCUUUCUUCCCUUACUUACUUUAAUUACCCAUCCAUCAAUUUAUUAAUGUAGUGAUUCAUGAAAAUAAUUCAUCUCCCCUCUCUUCUUCUCAACUUUCUCAUUCUUUUUCUCAUUUACCCAACUGUCUAUCUCCUACUCCAUGUACUCCAUAUACCAUUUCCUUGUAUCCACUCAUUAUUCUUUCUUCCAUCACUUUUACCCAUCAAUGUAGAUUACUAAUUAGUUCAUCCAAGCAUCCAUCCAUUCAUCCAUACAUACACAUCCUCAUCUUUCCUUUUCCCUUUUUUCUUUUCUUCUACCCAUUUGCUCACCCCGCACAUUCUUCUAGCCUCCUCUUAAUUCCUCUAUCCACACUCUGUAACCCAAUUCCUUCAGCUAUCCCCUUCCACACACCUAUCCACUGAAUCCAUCCAUCCAUCUCUUUCUAUCUAGUUUACCCACACAACUUUGUGGAUUUGUUUAAUCUCCUCUUUUCUUCCCUCCUGUCUUUCCUCACCCACAUCCAUCCAUCAGUUUCCCCUCCAUCUGUAUAUUCAUUGUCUACCCUCACUUUGAUUAUCAUGCCUGUUGCCUCUUCCUCUCCUUCCCUCCCUUACUUGUAUAUAACCAUCAUAUCUAUUCAUUAAACUCUCUAGUCAAUGACCUAGUCUUCAGUUCAUUCAAAUUUCCCAACAUCCUUCCACUCUUCACGCAUUUGUGUCACACGCAAUAAAUAAUUGUCUAAUGCCUAGUAAGUGACAAGCAACACACAGCCCCUGCCCAUGAGGUGCUUACAUUUUGGUGGGGUGUCAGACAAUAAUAAAAGUCACACUUAUGCAUGUCAGAUGGUGAUGUCAGCUCUGAAGAAUACAUAAAGCAUGGUGAGGGAGAUGUGGGGUGCUCUUUUAUAUAGAGGCAAGGAAGGCCUCUUUGUUGAGAUGCUAUUUGAGUGUAAACCUGAAUUAAUUCAUGCAGUAGCUAUAAAUGCAUCUUUCUGAGAAAGUGUAUUCCAGGAAAAGGGACCAGAUAUUGCAGAAGCCCUGAGGCAAAGUCAGGUUCAGGGACAAAUGUGGCUAGAAUGGGGGUGAGCAUAAGGAGAUGGGUCCAGAGAGGUGGUGGAGGGGCCAGACCACGUACAUCUUUUCUGCCACAGUUAGGAUUUUGUUUUGCUUUAAGUGAAAUCUUUGAUGAAUGUUAAACGAAGAGUCAAUAUUAUGUGACUUACUUUUUUUCUUCUUUUUUUGGCCAUGCCAUGCGGCCUGCGGGAUCUUAGUUCCCCAACCAGGGGUUGAACCCACGCCCCCUGCAGUGGAAGCAUGGAGUCCUAACCACUGGACCUCCAGGGAAGUCCCUAUGUGACUUACAUGUUAAAAGAUUGCUCUUGCUACUAGUGAAGAAUAGACUAAAAGGAUGCAAGGGGUUGGGGAGUUGGGAGACCAAACCGAAAGUGGUUGACUUAGUCAAGUCUUGGUUCAGAGGGUGGGAGUGGAGAGUUAAAACUGGUCCUAUAUUUUGAAAGAAAAGUCAACAGAGUAUCCUGGAAAAUAGAGAAGAUCCAAAGAUUACUCCAAGGAUACUCAUCUGAGCAGUUGAAAGAAGGGAGGUGCCAUUUAUAGAUGAGGAAGGAGGCUGUAGGAGGGGCGGGUUUAUGAGGAAAAGACCCUCACUCACCUUGUCCACCCACCAAUGCAUGCACUCUUGGUUCCACCCUUUCAGCUACUUACCCAUCCACUUUGUCUCCAAAAAUUCACCUGUUCAUCUUCUUUCCUUCUGGAAUUUCACUUCUAUACUGUCAACCAUCCCUGUAUUCACUCUUUCACUUAUUUACUGAAUUCAUGUUUCUACUCAUUUCAUCAUCUGUCUUUUUUUUCUUCCUUUCCUUCCACUGUUUAUCCACCAACCUCAUCCAUGACUCUGAUCAUCUACCCAUCCACCCAGCUCUCCAUCUAGUCUUUUUUCAUUGCCUGGAUUCAUCUGUUUCCCCCCUUACUCACUCAUAGUAAUAGCGAGAGUAACAACAAGCCAGCAAAUAACAAUAACCAUAAAACAACAACCAUUAAGUAUUGCGCUCUUAAUUAAUUAAUUAUUGAAUAUAUUCUAGGCACCUUUCUAAAAACUUCUAAUUAUUUAAUUAGAUGUAGCAUUUUAUUUAAUGAUAACAAAAACCUAUGAAUAGGUGCAAUUAAUAUCCUUGUUUUACAGAUGAGGAAACAGGCACAGUGAUACAAAGUAACUGCCUUGAGGUCACCGUCAAGUUCCUUUCUCGGACGCUUUUUGAAUAGUUACACUCUUCGUCCUGUAGUCAUCACCCUUCUGUCUGUUCAUCCUCUCAUCUCGUCCUCUCUCUGUCCAUUUUCCUGCACUUUCUAUCCAUCUCUCGGUUUAUUCAUUCAUCCACCCAACCACACAGCCUUCAUUUGUACCAUUCUCCAUUCUUCUAUCUACCAACUCCUUCUAUCAAUAUAGCUAAUCAAUCAUUCAUUAAAACUUCUACUCAUCAGCCCUUCUUCUCUCUUUCCUUUCUCCUUCUCACAACCAUGUAUCCACCCACCCACCAUCCAGCCAAUCAUCCGUCAACCAUCAAUACAUUUCCAUCUCUCCAUCUUUUCCUUUCAUUUAUUCCUGCUUCCCCUUCAUUCACCUCCAAAUUAAGUUGUCCGUUCAUCCAUUUAUAUAUUAUCCCUCCCUUUCUUUCCUCCACCCCGUUCUUCCAAUUAUUUAUUAUAUCCAUUCGUGUAAUCAGGUGUUGAGCUGGUAUCAAUUCUUCUCUACACCCAUCGACCCAUCCUCCCUCCCUUUCCUUCACACGCUAUCAAUCUAUCAUCCCAUGAAGAUACACAUUCAUAAAAGAACUGUCCAUCCAUUUAUCCAUCUGCACAUCCACCCAUUUUUCUUCCUUUCCUUUCUUUGACCGACUCACCCAACUAUCCAACCAUCAGUCUGUUCACUCACCUGCCUUCCUCUUCCUUUUUUUCCACCCAACAUCACCCAUCCACCUCUUCACCCGCCUGCCCUGCAUCCAUUUAUCCAUUCCAUUCCUCCAUGUUUAUUCCUCCUCCUUUUACGUCAUUUCACCCACCCACAAUCCUUUCCUUCCCUUUGCCUUCCUUCUGCUUUUUAGACUGCUCUUCUCGGCCUCCUUUCCUGGAUGCUUCUUGCUUCCCAGAUCUUUUGACGUUGGGAUGCUCUGGGGCUCAGUCCCUGGUCUUCUUCACCUCUGUCUACACUCUCUCCCUUGGUGCUCUCACCCAGCCGCAUGGCUCUAAGUAGCAUCUUUAUGCUCCACUCCUCCAAUUUGUAUCUCUGCCCCAGACCUCAUCCCUGAACUCUAGACUCAUAUAAAACCUACCUGCUCAAAAUGUCCAGCUCUAUGUCUAGAAGACAUUUCUAGCUAAACAUGUCAGAAAUCAAACUACUGAACCAUGCACAAACUUACUCCUCCUGGCGUCUCCUACAGCUCUGUUAUUUCAGUAGAUCAGAUCAGAAAGCCUUGAAAUCAUCUCAAAUUCCUUUCUUUUUUUAUCACACUCCACAUCUGAUCCCAGUAAAUACUGUCAGCUGUAUCUUCAAAAUAGAUCCAGAAAAAGGUCAGUUCUUACCACCUUCACAACCACUGCCCUGAUGCAACCCACCCUGACCACUCACCUGGACUGUUAGCCUCUUCUCUGCUUUGUCCAGCCUGUGCCCCUUCAACCUAUUCUCUACACAGCAUCCAGAAUUACCAGGUUAAAACACGCCAGAGCCUGCCAUUGUUUUUUCUGCUAAAAAGCACCCACAAAGUCCCACGCAAUCUGCUUCUUGACAAUUUCCUCUCUGACCGUAAGUCUCACUCCCCUUCCCCUCUGGGUUCUGCUCUCCCCACACUGGCCUCUGGUUAUUCCUCAGAACACAGGUUCAUCCCCACCUCAGAGCUUCAUGCUCUGAGACGUGCUUUCCCUGCAGAUAAACAUAUGACUGAGUCUGUCACACUCUUCCGGGCUUUACUCAAAUGUCCAUAUAAUCCAUGUGUUCUUUCCUGAGCACCCAGAUAGAAUCAUACCUCCCACAAUGCUCUCCGCUCCCUGUCCUCCUCAGUUUUCUUUUUAGCACAUUUAACACACUAUAUAAUUUACUUAUUUAUUGUGUUUACUUUCCAUGUCCUCUGCCUUAAAUGUGUCCUUAAAUGUAAGCUCCAUGAGGACAGGGGACUUUGUUUUUUUUCCCUGCUGUACACUUGGGACCUAGAAGAGCACCUACACAGAGCAGGCACUGAAUAUUGCUUGAUUGAGUUAAUGAACCUAUUCACCUACCCUGCAUUGUUCUAUACUAUAAUCUACCCAACAACCCUCCCUCCUUUCCAUUUAUCUACCCAUCCCAUUCACCCAACACACAUUCAUAUAUCCAUCUAUCCUCAUUCCAUCCAUUUGACACACUUUUAUACGUCCAUAUGUGCACCUUUCCCACCACUUCAGCGCACAUUCACACAUCCAUCUUAUCUGCCUAUCCCAACAAUUCAGCAUUUAUUUCUACACCCAUCUAGCCACCUUUCCUACCCAUCCAACAUAUACUCAUGCAUCCAUCUAUCCACCUGUCCAGAUUAUCCAGCGUAUAUUCAUAAAUUCAUCUACCAGCCUGUCCCGCCCAUCCAGUAUACCUUCCUAUAACCACCUAGGUACCUGUUCCCAUCAUGCAAUGUAAUUUCGUAUAUCCAUCUGUCUACCUGUCCUGCCCACCUGGCAUACCUUUAUGUGUCCAUCUAGCCUGUUCCAUCCAUUCAGCACCCAUUCUCAGAUAUUGAUCUACUUGCCUGUCCUCCCUGUUGAGCAUGUUUCACGUAUCCAUCUGUGUACCAGUCCUUCGCUUCUGGCAAGCAUCCGUGUAUCCAUCCAACCAUCCCUUCCAUCCAGCAUCCAUUCCUAUGUCCGUAUCUCUGUGUGUCCCAUGCAUCCAGCAUGGGACGUUCAUAUCUCCCUCCUUCUCAUCAUCCACCUGCCUUCCCAUCAUCAAAUCACCUGUCCAGUUCUCCUCUUCCCUGAUCUCCUUUACAACUGAAUGGACGGGUUACUCAGCCAUCCACUUUCAACAUCCAUCUCUAUCAUUCCUUUCCUCAUUCCAAUAUCCAACAAGGAAGUCAUGACCAAUUGUUUAUUUUUAAAUAAAUCAGCCUUGUUUCAACAUGAGGGGGAAAAAAAUCAAUGAAUAUAAUUUACUAGUUAAUGCAUUAGAGGAAAAAUAUGUUUAUCUCAUGGGGAUUUUUUAAAAUACAGCAAUCUACCUCUGAUAAUACAGUGAACAUCAUUCUUAGUCGUGAGGUUUACAAUUAAGACUGAGAGUAGGCUGCCUGUUACAUCAUUGCUAGUCAGCAUCGUUCUGAAGUCUUUGCUUCCAUUAUAUAAGAGCUUGCUUUGGACCAGACACUAUGCUAAUGCUUUGUGUCCACCAACUCAUUAAUUCCUUUCAACAACCCUAUGCCAUAGAUACUGUUGUUAUCUUCCUGUUACAGAUGAGAAUACUUGCUAAGAUUAUGCAAAACUGGGAUUCAAAUCCAGGCAUCUGUACUCUUAACCACUGUGCUACAGAGUCUAAGGAUAAAGACUUGAAGGAAGAAAUAGAACUGUUAUUUACAGUAGAUAUGAUUCAUUACAUAGAAAACUCGGUCUGUUAUCGUAAUUAAUAUGAUAGUUUAGCUGGAUACAAAAUCAAUCUAUAGAAGUUGAACUUUUAUACACCAGCAAAAAUCAGUUAGCAAGGUAAUCUUAGACAUCACUUACAAUAUAAUGACAACCAAAAUAAACAGACUAAGUCUAACAAAAGAUAUAAUAGCUCUGUCUUCUGGAGAGAAUUAUAAAAUUUUAUUUUAAUGACGACGUCGAAUAAGACCUAAAUAAGUGGGUGAUACAUCAUGUUCUCACAACGGAAGAUAAAACUCGGUGAAGAUGUGGGCUCUCUCCAAAAUCACUAGAAUAAAAGUUCCACAAGGGCAUAGACUUUCUUCUUUUCUCCUUCCCUUCCCGAGUUCCUCAAGACCAGCUUCUUUUCCUCCCUCUACCUCUCCAUUCUAUACAAUCUGCCUUAAGUCACCCAAUCUUCCACCCCUUCCCCAGUCCCUCUAACUUGUCCCCCAGCUCCACUCCACUCCAUCUCCUCCUUCCCUCUUCCUCACCCCCUCCAUCCACUGCCAGACAGUCACCUCUGUCUUCUUUCUUCUGUCUUCUCCCUCUGUUCCUUCCACCAUUCUCCUCCUCCAUCCAUCCACCCACAGGAAAUCCAGCCAGCCAGCCACACUCCCACCACAUCCCCACCGCGUUAACUACCCAUCUAUUCUCCCGUCCAUCUGCGUAACCCACCCUCCGGGCAGCCAGACAUCAGUGUCCUCUAUCUGCCCGACCCAGCCCCCUGCCUUUUGUCCAUACAUCCAUCCGUACUUCCAUCCAUCCACCCAUUUAUCCACCAAUCUGCUGAUGCAGAGACUUUCUCUACCUGCCUCUCUCAUCUCUCCUCUUCCUCCUUCUCCUCCUCCUCCUCCCAGGCUUUGCUCUCUGCUUGCAGCAUGCUCAGACCUGCACUUCUCUGGACUCUGUGGAAGGAGAGGGGACGGAGGAGAGGGGACUCCUCAGACCUAGCCUGGAUGAGGGGACAUGCUCCCCAGGGACACCUCUUCGCAGCCAGAGGAUCUUGGAAAUGGGUCCACCGCUGUCCACCAUCUCCCCAGGACUUACUGGGCUCCAACCGCUCCCUUCACUUUAACAUCCCGUUGCAGGGACCCCAGGGCUGCCUCCCGUCCAAGCAUAGUUCGGGACAAGAAACUCCUCAACGACCUGAACGGAGCCGUGGAGGACGCCAAGACCGCUCGGCUGUUCAACAUCACCAGCUCUGCCCUGGCGGCCUCCUGCAUCAUCCUCGUCUUCAUCUUCCUGCGGUACCCGCUCACCGACUACUGAGGCCCCCACAGGCACCACCAGCCUGCAGAUGAAGCUCUGAGAUGGGUUCAUUUUCGUGGCUGACGAAAGCUGGAUGCCCUGCGGUUGAGGCGGAGCCGGAGCCCCCCUGAAGCUGUGAACCCGGCAGCGAAGCAAGGGGACAAGUGAGCUUCGUGCCAGCCCACCCUCUCUGCCUCCUGGUCCUCCGCCUGUUUCUGGGGGGGCCCGUGGGCUUCUUGCUGUGCUGCUGCACCUUGGCUUCCAGUGGCUGCCCUCCCUACCUGGCUGUGCCCCCCACCCAGGCUCCUGGGGCCCCUCAGACCUGACACCCAGCAAGAAGGGCUUUUGUGGGAGCUUCCCAGGAUCAGGUGGCCGCCAGCAUCUGGGGACUGACUCUCUCCUCCCUGACACCACCUUCUCCAAGCUGUGACCCUGCUCAGAGCUCUUGUAUCUGUGAACUUCCAAUAAAAUACCUGCCCAGCUCUG